rnacentral:rRNA from 1 species
CCUACGGGUGGCAGCAGUGAGGAAUAUUGGUCAAUGGCCGUAAGGCUGAACCAGCCAAGUCGCGUGAAGGAUGACUGACCUAUGGUUUGUAAACUUCUUUUAUAGGGGAAUAAAGGUAUCCACGUGUGGCUAUUUGCAUGUACCCUAUGAAUAAGCAUCGGCUAACUCCGUGCCAGCAGCCGCGGUAAUACGGAGGAUGCGAGCGUUAUCCGGAUUUAUUGGGUUUAAAGGGUGCGUAGGUUGUUUUUUAAGUCAGUGGUGAAAGUUUGUGGCUCAACCAUAAAAUUGCCGUUGAAACUGGAAGACUUGAGUGUGUUUGAGGUAGGCGGAAUGCGUGGUGUAGCGGUGAAAUGCAUAGAUAUCACGAAGAACUCCGAUUGCGAAGGCAGCUUACUAAGCCGCAACUGACACUGAUGCACGAAAGCGUGGGUAUCAAACAGGAUUAGAUACCCGAGUAGUC